CAAGAAGUGGCGAGGAAACGGAUAUGAACACGGAUGCAUGAGGUUGUACGGAUCACGGGCGGUUAUCAUGAGGAGUAGAGAUCGAAGACCGAGUCACAAGAUAGAUUGUACGGGAAUAAUUGAGUAUGUACUUUAGUAAGCAGGACUUACACUUUGUUUUUGUAAAAGAUACAUAUUAAAAUGAACUUUCAAGUAGGUCAA